GCUAAACCCAGUUCCUUUGAGCAGCAACUUGAGGCUUCACGUAGAGCAAGUGAAAUCAAGAAGUUCCUUUUCCAUGGCGCCCCAACUGCCUUAGUGAGCUUGGUAGGGCACAAGCAGUACAGGAGAUGUGCGAGAGAUAUCUUCUAUUUCACUCAGUCAAACGUAUGCAUAAAGCAACUCACA